UACGUAGGGACCAAGCGUUGUUCGGAUUUACUGGGCGUAAAGGGCGCGUAGGCGGCAAUUCAAGUCAUCUGUGAAAUCUCCGAGCUUAACUCGGAACGGUCAGAUGAUACUGCUUUGCUAGAGUGCAGAAGGGGCAAUCGGAAUUCUUGGUGUAGCGGUGAAAUGCGUAGAUAUCAAGAGGAACACCUGAGGUGAAGACGGGUUGCUGGGCUGACACUGACGCUGAGUGCGCGAAAGCCAGGAGAGCAAACGGG
rnacentral:rRNA from 1 species